rnacentral:lncRNA from 1 species
UCUCAGGGACUCUGCCCUUUGGUCCUACCCAGCAGAUCGAGUGCAGAGUUUUCAAGAAAGACUUGCAGAAGCAGAAAUGGCUCACCCUCAGCCUGGAGCUUUUCAUGACUCUCCAGAAGAAAUGUCAACAGCCUUUUGUUUGGGUGAGCACGCCAAGACUAGCCCAGAGGACUCCUUUAGAUGCACUUGUGUGCCUGUCCUUCUGCACCAAGUCACACACAAGCCGGCUCUUCUGAUGCUCAAAGCUGCCAUUGGCUCCUUGUAUAGCCUACAGAGCUGACUGUGCAUCGGCCUCCAUCCUGGGCAAAACUGAGGUCUCUUCAGUCUCCCUCUCCCCACUCAGCAGCCAAUCCAGGGCCAGGGCCUUUACAGUUUUACGUAAAUUUCAUCAGAACCCUUUGAUCCAACUAAAGUUUACUUCUCCCAGAUGUUGCAAAACAGCUAUCUUGGCUGCAUUUUUAAAAAUUGUCUUCCCAAUGUCCAGUGUAAUUCUUGUACUC